AGGUAACUCUGGAUCCUGCCAGGCUGAUUACAUCAACAUCGUGUCACUUAGGGAAGGAUGUGGGGGGAUACAGAGAUAGGCAGACACCUAGUGAGGUGUGGCCUGUUGCUCAGGCUGGCCCCAACUCAGGUGGGGUGAGCAAAGUCGGGUUAUGAUUGCUCAGAUUCGACUCCCCAAGAACAGUCCUCAGGUGGGAUUCUUGCGGGGGCAGGGAUCGAGUCAAACCUUGGAAAUGACGUCAUUCUGAACUCAUCUGCCUUUAUCCAGAAGACUACCAAAGCAAACCAGAGGACCAGAGAACAGCAGCUGCUCUGGACAAAGAGGGGAGGACACCCACACCCACAUACCAAGUUCUGGUUGACUUCUACAGCAGAAGAAGCAGGAGACACAAGAAGAUCACGAUGUGAGCUCUCAGUUGUCGCUGCUCUGCCUUUGCUCCAGUACCUCAGACUCCAGCACUCUCGAGCUGUAAGCCCAGAUAAAAGCCUUCUUCUACAA
rnacentral:lncRNA from 1 species